rnacentral:rRNA from 1 species
GUGGGGAAUCUUCCGCAAUGGGCGAAAGCCUGACGGAGCAACGCCGCGUGAGUGAAGAAGGCCUUCGGGUCGUAAAGCUCUGUCUUUAGGGACGAACCGCGUAUGGAGUAAUAUGCCAUACGUCUGACGGUACCUGAGGAGGAAGCUCCGGCUAACUACGUGCCAGCAGCCGCGGUAAUACGGAGGGAGCGAUCGUUUUCCGGAAUUACUGGGCGUAAAGGGCGCGUAGGCGGAGGUUUAAGUAGGGUGUGAAAACUAUGGGCUCAACCGAUAGACUGCAUCCUAAACUGGGCCUCUUGAGGGCAGGAGAGGAAAGUGGAAUUCCUAGUGUAGCGGUGAAAUGCGUAGAUAUUAGGAGGAACACCAGUGGCGAAGGCGACUUUCUGGACUGUACCUGACGCUGAGGCGCGAAAGCGUGGGGAGCGAACAGGAUUAGAUACCCGAGUAGUCC